rnacentral:rRNA from 1 species
GACGAACGCUGGCGGCGUGCUUAACACAUGCAAGUCGAACGGAAAGGCCCUGCUUUUGUGGGGUGCUCGAGUGGCGAACGGGUGAGUAACACGUGAGUAACCUGCCCUUGACUUUGGGAUAACUCUAGGAAACUGGGGCUAAUACCGGAUAGGAGCUCCUGCUGCAUGGUGGGGGUUGGAAAGUUUCGGCGGUGGGGGAUGGGCUCGCGGCUUAUCAGCUUGUUGGUGGGGUAGUGGCCUACCAAGUCUUCGACGAGUAGCCGGCCUGAGCGGGUGACCGGCCACAUUGGGACUGAGAUGCGGCCGAGACUCCUACGGGGGGCAGGAGUGGGGGAUAUUGCACAAUGGGCGGAAGCGUGAUGCAGGAGCGCCGCGUGGGGGAUGGCGGCCGUCGGGUUGUAAACCGCUUUCGACUGUGGAGAAGCGUGAGUGACGGUAACUGGUAAAGAAGCACCGGCUAACUACGUG